rnacentral:lncRNA from 1 species
UAUGGCAAGCAGCUUACACUGCUGGAGUGGUUCUUCCAACUCCUAUAACAACUUGCCAGUACUGGCAUAGGUCUUUGAACCCAAAGAAGCUUAUUGAUGUUGGGUUUUCAAGGCUUGGUGCUAGGAUGACUAUGAGCCGAACCAUAAAACUUUAUAAGCUACCAGAUUCACCUGCCACUCCUGGGUUCAGAAAAAUGGAACUUCGUGAUGUCCCUGCUGUUACUCGUCUGCUGAGGAACUACUUGAGCCAGUUUGUGGUCGCACCAGAUUUCGAUGAAAAUGAUGUCGAGCAUUGGCUUCUUCCGGAGGAGAAUGUGGUGGACAGUUACUUGGUUGAGAGCCCAGAGACUCAUGACAUCACUGACUUCUGCAGCUUCUACACUCUUCCUUCGUCUAUCCUUGGCAAUCAGACGUACUCAAUCUUGAAGGCUGCAUACUCCUAUUAUAACGUCACCACUAAGACUCCAUUGCUUCAGCUGAUGAACGAUGCACUCAUUGUUGCAAAACAGAAGGAUUUCGAUGUUUUCAAUGCACUUGACGUCAUGCAGAAUGAGUCGUUUUUGAAGGAGCUGAAAUUUGGACCUGGCGAUGGGCAACUUCACUACUAUCUCUACAACUACCGGAUGAGGAACGCGUUGAAACCCUCGGAGCUUGGACUUGUACUCUUGUAAUUUUUCCGGUCUUGGUUUUUGCGCUUCGAACUUGACAAAUCAUUCCUGUUUCUUAUUUUCCGUCCUUUUUUCGUGGUUAGCUGUUGUCUUUCAUUUGCCUUUGCUCCUUUGGACUAUCAUCAAAGAAUAUGAGAUUUUGCAAUGCAUUUUAGAGACCUAAAUGUUAUGGGUAUCUUACCUGUAAGCAAAUGCUUAUACAGUAAACACUGUUUGGUGUUUGCAGUUGAAAUGGUUAUUUUAGAGCAAGAUGGAAGACUCGUUUGGAUGUGCUUUUAAAAUGACUGAAAACGUUUUUAAAGAAAAUAUUUUUAGGUUUCAAACGCACUUUAAGUGUUUUUUGCAAAAAACAUCAAUUAUAUAAUUCUUCCAGGAAGAACUUUAAUUGUUUUUCCAGGAUUUACUUGUAUUUUUACCAAAAUUGAUUCCAAAAACAUUUUCAUAAAAAAUGGUUUCAGUUAUUUUAAAAGCACAUCCAAACGAGCUCUGAGUUUAUAUCUUGAACAUGUUUAUAUCUUGAACAUGUUUAUGCAUUUCAUUCAUCCUUCCUCGCAGCGUGAUGGCACGCGAUGGCAGGGAGAAGAAAUCGAGCCCAGGAUCUCGGGUACGAGUAAAACACUCUUCACUCUCUAAAAGCCAUCCCGAGGCACGAAUGAUAACAAAUUCCUAACAUUCUACUUGAGAAGGAUUUGGGUUAAGGCACCCAAUUAGGCAUCAAGCUCGUCAUUCAUGUAAGUUGACACACGAGACCUUUUGUUUACAGGUGAGGAUGACUAGACUGUAGUGCUAUAGUGGCGUUCGACAAAAAACAAAUCCACAAAACAAGGAUUGUCUACCCUCCACUUCCGGUGUCCUCCUCGUGCCCUCCUGUUUGUAUGAUCACGGUUAAGCCACGUCAAUAUUUUAUAUUACUAUUUAUUUUUAGCUUAUUAUAUAUAUAAAAAAAUAAUAUAAAAUGUUGACGUGGCUUAAUCGUAACCACACAAAACAAGAGGGCACGGGUAGGGCAUCGGAAGUAAAUGGCAGAUAAUCCUUGUCCAUCUAAUAAUUUAGCCAAAAGCUACCUUACCUGCAGCCCUUUAAGUAAAACUUGUGAUAUCAAAAGCCUGACAGUAUCUCCUCUCAUACGCAACUCAUCCAAAUGAGCUCUGAGUUUAUAUCUUGAACAUUUUAGAGACCUAAAUGUUAUGGGUAUCUUACCUGUAAGCAAAUGCUUAUACAGUAAACAUUGUUUGGUGUUUGCAGUUGAAAUGGUUAUUUUGGAGCAAGAUGGAUGACUCAUUUGGAUGUGCUUUUAAAAUGACUGAAAACGCUUUUAAAGAAAAUAUUUUUGGGUUCCAAAGACACUUUAAGUACUUUUUGCAAAAAACAUCAAUUAUGUGUUUUUUCAAGGAGGUACUUUAAGUGUUUUUCCAGGAUUUAUCUUCAUUUUUACUAAGGAUUGGUUCCAAAAACAUUUUCAUCAAAAAUGUUUUCAGUUAUUUUAAAAGCACAUCCAAAAGAGCUAUGAGUUUAUAUUUUGAACAUGUUUCUACAUUUCAUUCACCUUUCCCGCAGCAUGAUGGCACGCAAUGGCUGGGAGAAGAAAUCGAGCCCAGAAUCUCGGGUACAAGUAAAACACUCUUUACUCUCUAAAAGUCAUCCCGAGGCACGAAUGAUAACAAAUUCCUAACAUUCUACUGGAGAAGGAUUUGGGUUAAGGCACCCAAUUAGGCAUCAAGCUCGUCAUUCAUGUAAGUUGACACACGAGACCUUUUGCUUACAGGUGAGGACGACUAGACCGUAGUGUUAUAGUGGCGUCCGACAAAAAACAAAUCCAUAAAACAAGGAUUGUCUGCCCUCCUCAUGCUCUCUUGUUUGUGUGGUCACAGUUAAGCCACGUCAACAUUUUAUAUUACUAUUCAUUUUUAUCUUAUUAUAUCUAUAAAAAAACAACAUAAAAUGUUGACGUGACUUAAUUGGGUCUUUGAACCCAAAGAAGCUUAUUGAUGUUGGGUUUUCAAGGCUUGGUGCUAGGAUGACUAUGAGCCGAACCAUAAAACUUUAUAAGCUACCAGAUUCACCUGCCACUCCUGGGUUCAGAAAAAUGGAACUUCGUGAUGUCCCUGCUGUUACUCGUCUGCUGAGGAACUACUUGAGCCAGUUUGUGGUCGCACCAGAUUUCGAUGAAAAUGAUGUCGAGCAUUGGCUUCUUCCAGAGGAGAAUGUGGUGGACAGUUACUUGGUUGAGAGCCCAGAGACUCAUGACAUCACUGACUUCUGCAGCUUCUACACUCUUCCUUCGUCUAUCCUUGGCAAUCAGACGUACUCAAUCUUGAAGGCUGCAUACUCCUAUUAUAACGUCACCACUAAGACUCCAUUGCUUCAGCUGAUGAACGAUGCACUCAUUGUUGCAAAACUGAAGGAUUUCGAUGUUUUCAAUGCACUUGACGUCAUGCAGAAUGAGUCGUUUUUGAAGGAGCUGAAAUUUGGAC